AUUGAACGCUGGCGGCAUGCUUUACACAUGCAAGUCGAACGGUAACAGGCCGCAAGGUGCUGACGAGUGGCGAACGGGUGAGUAAUGCAUCGGAACGUGCCCAGUCGUGGGGGAUAACGCAGCGAAAGCUGCGCUAAUACCGCAUACGAUCUCUGGAUGAAAGCGGGGACCGAAAGGCCUCGCGCGAUUGGAGCGGCCGAUGUCAGAUUAGGUAGUUGGUGGGGUAAAGGCCCACCAAGCCAAUGAUCUGUAGCUGGUCUGAGAGGACGACCAGCCACACUGGGAGUGAGACACGGCCCAGACUCCUACGGGAGGGAGCAGUGGGGAAUUUUGGACAAUGGGCGCAAGCCUGAUCCAGCAAUGCCGCGUGCAGGAAGAAGGCCUUCGGGUUGUAAACUGCUUUUGUACGGAACGAAACGGUCCGGGUUAAUACCCUGGGCUAAUGACGGUACCGUAAGAAUAAGCUCCGGCUAACUACGUGCCAGCAGCCGCCGUAAGAC
rnacentral:rRNA from 1 species